rnacentral:rRNA from 1 species
CGGGUGAUAGCCCCGUACGUAGAAUGACCUGUGUGGUACUGAGCUAACGAAAAGUAGGGCGGGACACGAGAAAUCCUGUCUGAAUAGUGGGGGGACCAUCCUCCAAGGCUAAAUACUCAUCAUUGACCGAUAGUGAACUAGUACCGUGAGGGAAAGGCGAAAAGAACCCCGGGAGGGGAGUGAAAUAGAUCCUGAAACCGUGUGCUUACAAAAAGUAGGAGCCCGCAAGGGUGACUGCGUACCUUUUGUAUAAUGGGUCAGCGACUUACAUUCAGUGGCAAGGUUAACCGAAUAGGGAAGCCGUAGAGAAAUCGAGUCCGAAUAGGGCGAAUCAGUCGCUGGGUGUAGACCCGAAACCAAGUGAUCUAUCCAUGGCCAGGAUGAAGGUGCCGUAACAGGUACUGGAGGUCCGAACCGACUAGUGUUGCAAAACUAGCGGAUGAGCUGUGGAUAGGGGUGAAAGGCUAAACA